CGCGCAGGCGGUCUGUUAAGUCAGGUGUGAAAUCUCCCGGCUCAACUGGGAGGGUGCACUUGAUACUAACGGGCUAGAGGGGAGUAGAGGGAAGCGGAAUUCCCGGUGUAGUGGUGAAAUGCGUAGAUAUCGGGAGGAACACCAGUGGCGAAGGCGGCUUCCUGGGCUCUACCUGACGCUGAGGCGCGAAAGCGUGGGGAGCGAACCGGAUUAGAUACCUGGGUAGUCCACGCUGUAAACGAUGGACACUAGGCGUGGGGAGUAUCGACCCUUCCUGUGCCGAAGCCAACGCAAUAAGUGUCCCGCCUGGGGAGUACGGCCGCAAGGCUAAA
rnacentral:rRNA from 1 species